GACGAACGCUGGCGGCGUGCUUAACACAUGCAAGUCGAACGGAAAGGCCCUGCUUUUGUGGGGUGCUCGAGUGGCGAACGGGUGAGUAACACGUGAGUAACCUGCCCUUGACUUUGGGAUAACUUCAGGAAACUGGGGCUCUUACCGGAUAGGAGCUCCUGCUGCAUGGUGGGGGUUGGAAAGUUUCGGCGGUUGGGGAUGGACUCGCGGCUUAUCAGCUUGUUGGUGGGGUAGUGGCUUACCAAGGCUUUGACGGGUAGCCGGCCUGGGAGGGUGGCCGGCGACAUGGGGACUGAGAGACGGCCCAGACUCGUACGGGAGGCAGCAGGGGAAAAUAUUGCAGAAUGGGCGGAAGCCUGAGGCAGCAGCGCCGCGUGCGGGAUGAUGGCCUUCGGGUUGUAAACCGCUUUCGCAUGUGACGAAGCGUGAGUGACGGUAAUGGGUAAGAAAGCACCGGCUAACUACGUG
rnacentral:rRNA from 1 species